UUAAUUGGCUCCUCUUCGAAUGCCCAUAACUUUCUAGUACUGAAAGUUAGCACAAAUACGCAAUACAGAGUAAAUAUUGGCAUUAAACUUUGCGCACUCGGCUCUUAGCUGUUACAUAUACGAUAUAACUCUACAUAGAUCCUUGACUAAUUGCCCCAGACGCAGCGAAACGAUUCGAUUUGCCUGAAAACUUUCAAGUCUUGGGCCAAAGUUUUGCCUGGCAGACACAUUCACACAUUCCCCCAUGCCGGGUCUGCAAAUAACUUUAAGUCUGUGCCAGCCAGUGUUGCUGCUCCUUCUGCUGGGAUGUGCCGCCUAUGCUGCCCCUCAGAUCCAGUUCAUAUCCAGGACUCGUGCGGCAGCCUGCGGAGAGAACGAGGAGAUGUCCUGCCUGCCCUGCCAGCAGCCCAGCUGCACAGUGCCCAACUAUGAUACGGACUGCUCCAGGGACGUUAUCUGCCAGCUGGGAUGCGGCUGCAAGUCUGGAUAUGUGCGGCACGAUCACACAGAUCGCUGUGUGUCCAUCUACGAAUGCAAAAACUUUCAGUGGAUCUCACAAGACCCCAUCAGGGCAAAGCGACUCGGGGCUCUGAAGCGUAAACUUCGUGUCGGCAGCUGGGGACGGGGCCGACCCCUCCGCCAGUUUCCUGAAUAUAGAAAACUGUGAAAUUUUAGUUUUAUUUGUAAUUUGCUUGGCAUUUCGGAUUGUUCUAACCAGUUGCCAGCGAAGCGUUCACCAUGUCAGCCGUCUUUCAGUUUUCACUCUUUUCGAUUCUCUUGAUUUCGAUUUCUAUUUGGAGCUCGCUGGUCCCCAGCCUCUGGGCGGAGGAAUUCGAUUAUGCAGAGCUAAAGGAGAAAACCAUUUGCAUUGACGAUGGCAUGGGCCACAAGAUGUGCUACUAGGCUUCGGAAUUAAUUGAAAAUUUGUAUGUCCUUAAUAAGAAAUAAACGGAAUUGGGGUACUGCUUUCACAA